rnacentral:rRNA from 1 species
GAUGAACGCUAGCGGCAGGCUUAACACAUGCAAGUCGAGGGGUAUGCCGAUUUAUCGGCAGAGACCGGCGCACGGGUGCGUAACGCGUAUGCAAUCUACCUUUCACAGAGGGAUAGCCCAGAGAAAUUUGGAUUAAUACCUCAUAGUAUAGCAAUUUCGCAUGAAACCACUAUUAAAGUUCCAACGGUAAAGAUGAGUAUGCGUCCAUUAGCUAGAUGGUAAGGUAACGGCUUACCAUGGCAAUGAUGGGUAGGGGUCCUGAGAGGGAGAUCCCCCACACUGGUACUGAGGACACGGACCAGACUCCUACGGGAGGCAGCAGUGAGGAAUAAUUGGACAAUGGGCGCAAGACCUGAUCCAGCCAUGCCGCGUGCAGGAAUAAGGUCCUAUGGAUUGUAAACUGCUUUUAUACAAGAAGAAACACU